AUAUUACUAAUCUUUAUUUUUAACUCAUUGUAUAUGUGUCUAAAGAAUGAACUGUUUUGUAAUUUGUUUUUACGUAUGAAAUUCUUAAGCCCUGACUUAAAGCCAGUGUUGGAAACCCAUGAACUUUGAAUUCAAUUCUCGGCAAGACCACUCUAUUAAUAGCAAUACGUAAUAUUUUGGCUUUCCAUUAGUUACCUAGACAAGGUAUGAUGAACCUCUCUAUAUUUAGAUACAAUAAUUUUCCGAAUAAUGCUUAAAUAAAAGGGGCCAAACACAUAUGCUUUACGAAAGACAGUAUCGCAUCAUACCAGAAGAGACAUUUUGACUUGGGCAAAAUAUUAUAUUUUAAACAAGAAAACAAUUUUUAAGAAAAAAAGAUAUGUCGCAGCAGGCAGACACAAAUGUUGUUUCUGAAUGGAGCUCAAAGUUUAGAAUUGCUAAACAAGCUGCUCAUGAAAUUCACUAUAGAGAAGAGUGUCAUUAUGAAAAAAUUGGAAACAUUCAGAUUAUUGGGACAAAUCAUACAAUGAUAAUGCUAGUCCGAGUCUGUUCUUGUGGACAACAAAACGAUAAAAAGUACAUUCUCAGGAAUAUACUCAUUAACAUUGAAGACUUUGAUGAUGGUGUUGAAAUACAUUUCGACAACAGGUGUCGAUAUGAACGUGCACAUUUACCUGAUGGAAGAAUGAAAUUGAACAAAAUAUGUUAUUGUCCUAAACAUAUUGGACUUUAAUCGACAGGAGAAUACGGAAAAAACAGAUAACCGUUUUGGAGACAGAAAACAUUAUACAGACAUAAAUCAUUUAAGUGAACAAAUUUGGAUACAGAUCGUUUAUAACUUGUUGAUGUCAAGACAAAUACAAACAUAAAAAAGUGAUUAAAAAAGGACGUUUGUCAAAAUGUUAAACAUUUUUACAUUAAAGUUUUGCAUUGUUUAUUAUGCAAGUGUUUUAUUUUUUCUAUAUAAUACGAAAUAAAACAAAAUGAUUUAAAUAUGUUGAGUUUCUUUAUGAUUUGUAUUAGCCCAAUAUCAUAGGGUAUUAUUAGUGUGUUAAAGAUAUACCAUGCUCAUCUUUGGAUAGAAAAUGCCUUUCGGGUAAGAAUCUAAGAUAUCCUUACUGUACAUGUCCAAUUAAGAUAAGAACAUGCACAAAAGAUGUUUAGAAAGCUUCAUUCCCUAUUUCUGGUCAAGUUAAUUUGGUCCUUUCGUAGCAAUGAAAACCGCCGUUAUUUAUGUACCCAUAGGAUGUGAUUUAUAAACAUAUCAUAUCAUUUAUUCCUGCACAUAAAAGAUGUUUACUUGUACUUUAAAAACGAGGCUUUAUAUCAAUUUCAAGAAGUAUUUAAAAAAUCUCAAGCAGAAAAAGCGUUUAUAGGUAGUGGAGUAGAAUGUCAAGGCGUCUAAAAUGACUCCACCCAGAAUUUGAAAAAGAAGCAAUGAUUGGACAGGGAUGUAACAGUUAACGGCUUGCCAUUCGUUAAAACAUUUGCGGUAAAGUCCUUUAAGUUUUUUAUUCCGUCCUUAGAAUAUUUACUCUAAUGUAGGCAUUAAAGGACUGAAAGCACGUUAAUAACAACCAAGAUAAAUUAUGUCUGAUAUCAAUCUUGCUGCGGAUAAGAAAAUAUUUAAAACUAAUCACGAACAUUGGGAAUCGUGGUGUUACGGAAAACUUGAAAACAGAAAGCUCGUUUUGAUAUGUUAUUGUGGUGGAUUUCUUUGGAUUCACUGGUUGUUUCCUUCACAUAUUUACGGACAGAAAUUACAUGUUUCAACAAAAUGUAGACUUGUUAACAAUGGUGGGAAAAUAAAAGUUGUAUGUAAAUGUCCAAAACCAAAUGCUGUUAAUAAAAGAUAACUAAAAGAUUAAGUCAAAUGUAAAGAUGUGUUCUAUAGAAGCGUUCAUCAUUUCAGAGCGAAACGAAUUUUACGUUCAUCAAUAUGCAGUGUUUGUAGUUCCAGCAAUCAAUUGACUUCAUGAUAGAAAAACUUAGACCAAAACAACAAUUACUUGAUGUUUUCAGUAUGCUGUAACCUAAAGGUCAUAGUUUUUUAACUAAAUUACAAUUUGGAAAAGAAAUCUGCUGAAUGUGUUUGUAAAUGUACUAUUAAAUGACAGGUAUUUUAAAUUGUGACUUUCUUCAAAAUUAUUCAAAGAGGACUUUGCUGAUGAGUAAACUUAUUUGUGUAUAAUGGUGAGAAUAAAUGAAAUAUAUUUUUAAAACAAACUACAAGUGCUUCGAAAAUAUUUAUGAAAUGUAUCAUCUUUCUAUAAAACGUUUUAAUUGAUUGAUCGAAACAUUAAAUUUUAAACAUUAUUAACUUCUUCAUUUUUCUUCAUGAUUCUUUGUUAAGUGUUUUCAUAUAUAUAUAAUUUUGUUCUCUCAUAUUUCAUUAAGAAAUAAUCGAAUAUAUUCUCUAUAGUCUAAAUACAUGUCAUAUUAAAUGACAUAACGGACACAACUAAUGCAGUCUACUUUUCUUAAUCAAAUACCAUCAAAUACCAAAAAACAUGUUUUUAGAAUCAUUUUAAUAAACAAAGAAAAAUGUUUUCAUGAUUUGGAAACAAUUUUGUAAUUUAUAAAUUAUGUACUGCAUUAUUCUGGUAUUAUAAAGGUCUACAUUUUAAACAAUGGUAAACCAAUAAUUCCAUAAAUAUUUAUUUCUGGACGUUUGUCAACAGCUGCUUUAUUCCGAUCAGCCGGUCUCCUUAUGGCAAAUAAUCAAUGUUUCAAAACUAUUUAUCAUUAAAUGUUUUAUAUGUUUUGUUUUGCUUGAUUUACAAACAAACUUGAUAAAACUAGCCAUGAAAUUUUACAAGCAACACAUUUUUUAAUACUUGCUGAAUAAGCUUCUAUGUUUCUAUUUUUACAUGCCGAUUUUAAGACUGCUUGCUAAAUAUGAAAUAUCUUGCAUAAAUAUAAGUAAAGGUCGUCGUAUUUAUUAACCUUUCGUUUUAAAUAAUAUAAAAAGCAGUGUCAAUGCUCGAAAGUAAAAAGUGGUUUAAAAUAUUCAUCAUAGAAAAUAUUACGAAGCAAAAUAUACAUUCACGUGAAAAUAAAAAACACCGAAUGAAAAAUUAAAAAAAAAUAAAACAAUAUUAAUUUCACUUAAUUUUACGUAUAUUAUCAAUUUCUUGUUGAUUUUAUUAAAAUUCAAUAUUUAUUUCAAUCGAAUAGAGUCACAACUCUAUCUUAAGUUAAAUAAAACCACGCAAUGACUUUGGUUUAUGCCAUCAUGUCAUAUAAAAAAAUAACCUGCAUUUUGAUGUUGACGAAUAUCAUAUUCGUAAGAAUUUUUAUUGAAUCAUAUUAUUAAAUGCAAUAUUGGGAGGUAGUUUAUAGAUGAAUAUAAGUCUAUUAACCGAAUACAAUAAAACUGUGUUGUCGAAAAAGCAAUUAGAACAUUCAGGUAAUACCAGGCUAAAACUUCUGACACUUAAUGAUUAUAAAAUGUUUAAGAUGUAUUGGAAGGCGGCUGAGUAUAAUAACCCGCCAACUGUGCCAAAUCAAUAUAAUUUUUUGCGGAAUACAGUUUUAUUUUAAGACAUUUUAUUUUAAGACAUUUCUAAAAAAUUAUAGUUACCACAUAUUCUAAAUUUAGAUUUAAAUUUCCAUGUUCUGUGCCUAUAUAAAAGCACAAAGUCUAAAUCUCACAGUGAGUUUAUGCUUUGUCUCGUGUAGCAUAACCAUAAAUAGAUAGGGUAAUGGGUGAUUUGAACGAAACUAACAGUGAAGUAGUACGGAGGUCCAAUGGGAACAACUCAGAACAACAUAUUGAAGGAAAGGGUUGCGGAUAUAAACGAUUACGAGACUGGGUUAUUGAUGGAACAAAUUUCCGAGUUCAAAUUUUAAUAAGAGUGUGUUAUUGUGGUCAGCGUAAAGACAAACAAAAGAUGUUAAAGCGAUCAAAUAUAUACUUUAAUGAGGUUGGUAAUGGUGUAGAAGUACAUGUUUCUGAAUCUUGUUGUUAUACAACGAAAAGAAUACCAGUGAUACAACUAUAUUGGCAGUCUGAAGAGGGAAUAAUCGAACAUGACAGAUACUGUGUUUGUCCAAAUAAGAUAUAUCCUGUUGCUCAACGAUAGCACCUUAUAAGAAUUAUGAAAAUGAACACAAUAACAGAGAACGGAGACUGACAUCAUUUCAAAUACAAUUUUACCACUACACAACUAAUAAAAUUUCCACCGGAUGAAGCGGCAAUGGAUCAACCAACUAAUCGAACAAAGCAGCUUAAAGAAAACGUGCUUAAGAGAGCCACCUAAGAACUGAGACUGUUAUAUUAUUAUAAUAUUUUCAAUAUAUUUAAUUCAGUGUUGUAUGUUUAUUUUGAACUUUUUUUUGAUUGGCUGUCGCAUUUUUUUUCCUUUAAACUACGGACAUCAUUUAAUCAUUUUGGCAAGAAACAUGCCGGAUUUUAAUUGCAAAGUGUUAACACAAUAUCUUCAUUUCCUGAGUGCACUUUUUACUGUAGUUUUUGUUGCAUGUUUUUACAUUUGAUGUAAAUUUGAUUAUAUUUUUACAAGAA